UUCCCGCGUGGACACCUCGCCACCAACGUGGACGCACAAUGUUCUAUGUACGUCUGAAAGAAUCGUGACAAGAGUCAUAUCAGACUGCUCGCCGUGAUAAAAGGCGAUCUCGGCAUAUCUCUGCUUAUAUAAUUGGCCUGGAUGUCCUUAUACUGUAAGCAGCUGCGUCAAUAUAGAACAGGUCUGCGUGCUAAGGAGCCCAUGUGGAUGCAUAAAGUUUUUCUUCUCCUCGUCUGGAAAGCAGGAGGGCAGGUAUCUUUGGCUUUAACUGGAACCGCGCAUCAGGCUGCUCGCCGGGCUAAAAGGCAUAUUUGGGAUAGAAUCUUUGCCAACAUGAGGAUAAAGAAAAUGUCUUAGCGUUACGGAACCCAAUUGAAUUCACAGUUUUUUUCCUCGUCUGGAAAUCAAUGGAGCAGAUAUCUUUGAAUUUACUGGAUCAACGCAUCAGGCUGCUCGCCGGGAUAAAAGGCAAUUCUGGGACAGUUGGUUUGCUAAAUUGAAUAUGCCGGAUGUCUUUGUACCAGCUCGAACUGAGCGGAUUUAGUGCGCGACUUCCAAUGUCCACUGUGUAAUAACGUGCUCCUAUUUUCAUUGUGGAGCUUGAAGAAGAAUGUUAGCUUCUUCUCUUCCGUCUGCUUUGGCCAAGGGCCCCGAUGGUAUUGGCAGCUUCCGGCGCAGAUAAGGAUAGAUUGUAGACUAAGUUGGAUAUCCAGUAGGGUCGACUCCACGCAGCUUCACCCUACACCCUGAUGCCAAAGUGUCCUGUGUCAAACGAAGAGCAGGUGGCUCGAGAAGAACAUCUUUAUCAUCCGUGAUUUGUUCACAAGGCACAAAACUUAACUCUUUUGAAUAAGGACUAUAAUUGGCCGAAGAACGUUCCGAUAUUCCCUGUACAUGUCCAGAUUUGGCUACUUUUCUAUAAAGGACAUUCCAUUUGUGACAAUAAUGUAAAUUUCGCUUGGCCUGCCGAAAGUGCUCCUUUCAGCUCCGCCAUAUCCUUGCGGUUUUUCAAAGGACGUGCUGCGUUAUGAUUUUAAGGACCAAGCGCAUCGACCUGCAACAAAAUAUUAGGGGGUCAUCUAAGAAUCCAGGACUUGGUAACUUUUUCAGUCGUGGCCGCAAGGAAAUUGACAAAACACAGUCAUCAACAUAUCCGAAACUAAAAGGACGAUUUCGGUCCUCUUUGGCCAGCUUGUAGCCAUUGCCAAUACGAUAUAGCCGAGUUACAGCUAAGUAUUUAAUAUAGCUUAGUGUUUAACUAAAAGUCAAAUUUUCUUAGCUGUUGGAAGAACUGUAGUCCUGAAGGCUGCAUAUUCUUAAAUGGGAGGAUGAGGACUAUCUAUUGGCCAAAGGGCAUCCCCAUAGUCUAUCAAGUUGCAAAGUUAGUCCAGAUAUUUUAGAUUUUCUGACUAACCCCUUUGCAUGCCAAUCAAUAGUCCUGGUCUCCACGAGCUCAAAAAUGAAUAUUCUUUAGAUAAUCUUAAGGAAAUGCUCCAGAUAUAACUAUAAAUAGAAUGUCCUUUUCAAAAAAAUAAGCAUAUCUCGGAAACUAUAAGGUUGGUCCCGAUGUCCUUAAGUCGGGUGAUAGCCCUCAUCCUCCAAUAUUGAAUUGUUAUACAAGGACGAAAGUAACCAAACCAGAUAAAACACACAAAUAAGCUUAUAACUAAGACUACCAGCUGGUCAAAGGACAUCCAAAUCGUCUUAGUACGUUUAAUGACAUCUGAAGGAUUUUGUUUUCAGUCUGUUUCCUAGUACAUCGCGACAAUAAAUUACUAAGUCCAUGAUCCUUAGAUGACACACUUGAUGCAGUUCGUCCCCACGAUCCUAAUGCACUAAGUCCUUCGAAAAUCUGCAAGGAUAUGGCCGGGUUAUGGCUAUUUUUCCAAAAAGGAUACUUUUACAAAACUGGCCAUAGCUUGGGCAUUUUAAGGACUUCCGGCAUGUCCUUUGGCCAUCAGACUGUCCUUGUCUUGCCCAUUCAGAAAAUGUAAUAAAAAGGACGCAGGUCCUUCAAACAGCCAAGAUAAAGGAAUAUUUGUUUUGUAUAUUAAAAUCGCUAUAUCUCAGCUGUAUCCUUGCGGAUCCUGAUAAGUCGUGUGUCAAACAAAUCGUAUAGACAAGGACUACAAACUGACCAAAGGACAUCCUAAUCGUCCUUGUGGUUUCAGAGAUAUGGCUAUUUUUCUAAAAAGGACAUUUUUCAAUUAGCCAUAACUCGGCCAAAUCCUUAAGGAUAUAGGAAGGAUUUACCUUAUUGAACUCGUGGAGAGCAGGACUAUCGAUUGGCAUUCAAGGAUUUCCAAGAUUCGACAAAAAAUUUCACCAAAAUUUUUCAUAGGGGUUUAGUCAGAAAAUUGCCAAAAAUCGAAAAAUUCGGGACUAACUUCGCCAAUUGAAGGACUAUCGCGAUGUCCUUUGGACUGUAGAUAGUCCUGACCCUCCCAUUUACGAAUAUACAACCCAAAGGACGAAAGUCCUUCGGACAAAAAAGUUUUAAGGACAAAAUUGUAAACCGAAAAUAGCUUAUAACUCGGUCAUAUCCUGGCGUAUCCUGACGAGUCCUGUGUCAAAACAAUUGUAUUGACUAGGACUACAAUCUGGCCAAAGGACAUCAAGAUCGUCCUUGUAGUUUCAGAGAUAUCGCGAUUUUACUGUAAUUGUGUGAUUUCGGGCCAAUUUUCCUUGCGGCCCGCGACUGAAAAAUUACAAGUCCAGGAUUCUUAGAUGACCCCAUAAUGUUUUAAUGCAGUUCGAUGCAGUUGGUCCCCACGAUCCUAACGCACCAUGUCCUGCAAGGAUCUGCAAGGAUAUGCCAGAGUUAUGGGCAUUUCUUUCCUCAAAAUACCUUUAUAUUUAUUAUGACAUUUUUAAUUCAAAUGUGUGUUUAUCUUUACAGAUUGAAGGAUUCAAGGACUCUAAUUGAUUCUAAGGACCUCUACCAAUCCAAGAAGGCUAUUCCUUCCAGGAUCGAGCAUAUAUUAAGCUAGAUAUAGCCAUUUU